rnacentral:rRNA from 1 species
CAAUAGCGUAUAUUAACGUUGUUGCAGUUAAAAAGCUCGUAGUUGGAUUUCUGGAGGGAGCGUCGGCCCGUAUUUACGAGUGCGUGACGUCUCUGUCCAUCCUUGCGGGAAGGCACGGCAUUGUUUUGUUGUGUCGGAUCGCAUCAUUUACUGUGAAAAAAUUAGAGUGUUCAAAGCAGGCUUUCGCUUGAAUACAUUAGCAUGGAAUAAUAAGAUAGGACUUUGGUGCUAUUUUGUUGGUUGAGCCUAAAGUAAUGAUUAAUAGGGAUAGUUGGGGGCACCUGUAUUGCGUUGUCAGAGGUGAAAUUCUUGGAUUUGCGCAAGACAAACAGCUGCGAAAGCGUCUGCCAAGGAUGUUUUCAUUAA